GAACGAACGCUGGCGGCAUGCCUAACACCUGCAAGUCGAACGAGACCUUCGGGUCUAGUGGCGCACGGGUGCGUAACGCGUGGGAACCUGCCCUUAGGUUCGGAAUAACUCCCCGAAAGGGGUGCUAAUACCGGAUAAUGUCUUCGGACCAAAGAUUUAUCGCCUUUGGAUGGGCCCGCGUUGGAUUAGCUAGUUGGUAGGGUAAAAGCCUACCAAGGCGACGAUCCAUAGCUGGUCUGAGAGGAUGAUCAGCCACACUGGGACUGAGACACGGCCCAGACUCCUACGGGAGGCAGCAGUGGGGAAUAUUGGACAAUGGGCGAAAGCCUGAUCCAGCAAUGCCGCGUGAGUGAUGAAGGCCUUAGGGUUGUAAAGCUCUUUUACCCGGGAUGAUAAUGACAGUACCGGGAGAAUAAGCGCCGGCUAACUCCGUG
rnacentral:rRNA from 1 species